UACGUAGGGUGCGAGCGUUAAUCGGAAUUACUGGGCGUAAAGCGUGCGCAGGCGGUUUUGUAAGCCAGAUGUGAAAUCCCCGGGCUUAACCUGGGAAUGGCAUUUGGGACUGCAAGGCUGGAGUGCGGCAGAGGAGACUGGAAUUCCUGUUGUAGCAGUGAAAUGCGUAGAUAUCAGGAGGAAUACCGAUGGCGAAGGCAGGUCUCUGGGCUGACACUGACGCUCAUGCACGAAAGCGUGGGGAGCAAACAGG
rnacentral:rRNA from 1 species